GUGCCAGCAGCCGCGGUAAUACGUAGGUGGCAAGCGUUGUCCGGAAUUAUUGGGCGUAAAGGGCUCGCAGGCGGUUUCUUAAGUCUGAUGUGAAAGCCCCCGGCUCAACCGGGGAGGGUCAUUGGAAACUGGGGAACUUGAGUGCAGAAGAGGAGAGUGGAAUUCCACGUGUAGCGGUGAAAUGCGUAGAGAUGUGGAGGAACACCAGUGGCGAAGGCGACUCUCUGGUCUGUAACUGACGCUGAGGAGCGAAAGCGUGGGGAGCGAACAGGAUUAGAUAUCCUGGUAGUGC
rnacentral:rRNA from 1 species